rnacentral:rRNA from 1 species
AUUGAACGCUGGCGGCAGGCCUAACACAUGCAAGUCGAACGAGUGGCGGACGGGUGAGUAAUGUCUGGGAAACUGCCUGAUGGAGGGGGAUGACUACUGGAAACGGUAGCUAAUACCACAUACCAUAGGAUGUUCCCAGAUGGGAUUAGCUAGUAGGUUGGGUAAAGGCUAACAUAGGCGACGAUCCCGAGCUGGUCGGAGAGGAUGACCAGCCACACGGGAACUGAGACACGGUCCAGACUCCUACGGGAGACAGCAUUGGGGAAUAUUGCACAAUGGGCGCAAGCCUGAUGCAGCCAUGCCGCGUGUAGGAAGAAGGCCUUCGGGUUGGAAAGUACUUUCAGCGGGGAGGCGUUACCCGCAGAAGAAGCACCGGCUAACUCCGUGCCAGCAGCCGCGGUAAUUC